CCUCCCUCUCCUCCUGCCGCUCCGGCGGGAGCAGGGAAACUUCCAGCCGCCGGGCGGGGAGCGGGAGCCGCCGGGUCCGGGCUGUCCCCGCGCGGGGCUCGCUGACAAUGGGAGAGCAGGCGCGCACAACCCACUCCCCUUCCCCGGCUGUCACACCGCACAUGCAGAAAGCAUCUCGGCAGAGCCUGGAGGAGGGAGAGGAAACCUCCCCCCCGCCCCCAGCGCGGGGCUGUAAAUCUACCUCCAAAAAGCACGAGCCGAGUUGACAGGCUGGCUGGGAUUGGCUUGGAUUUGACAAUUAUUUUAGGCUUAUCAUUUUAAACUCCCCCCACCGCGCGUACACACAGACACACACACACACCCUGAAUGCUGCCACCCAGAGAAAGCACAUCUCCCGCCCAGCAUGUAAUGCCGCCCGACUAGCUCCCAAGUCAGGGAGUCUUCCAUCAACAUAACUUUAUCGCUGAAGCUUUUCAAGCCUUGUUAGGGAAAGCUCCUCUCACCUCCUCCCCCGGCUCUCCGAAAGAAAUUCCUCCUAAAGCCCACUUCAGCAACCAGUUCAAGGCGUGCAGCGGUCCGGCCAGGCUUGUAAAUUAAACUGGAAGAUUCUCCAAAGGCUUCUUAGCAGCUAAGCAUGCUCCGCUUCAUCCAGAAGCCUUCCUGUUGCUGGAUCACUUUGGUGAUCCUGAGUUAUUUUACCCUCUGGAAGCCCACUAACGAAGCUCUUUUUCUUCUGUCGCAAAGGGAAAAGGAAGACCCCCGAUGCCUGCUAAGUGCUAAGCUGUAUGUGCAAACACACAGAGAAACUCCUUCUCUCCCCUCCCCUCCCCUCCCCUCCACACACAUUCACACACGCUCGCACACCCUUUAAAGUGGCUUCGGGGUUACCAAAUUUGUGUGUGUCAUGCAGAAGAGUCACCCGUGUAAACAUAGGAAGUCAGCAGUGCCUGGGAUCCAAGACGUUUAGCGUCUCCCUCUACUUUGUUUUAAACUCUUCCAGGAUGAACGAAGGGAACUGGAAGUCUGAUUCUGUGUGGGUGCAAACUGUGUUUGGAAAAUCAAGGGAGAUCACACAAAAUGCAGGAGCUAAAUACUUGUUACAUGGUUUUCUGCAGCCAAAAAAUGAUAGCUAUUUAAUCACAACUGAGAUUUUCUGUGGAAACUGGAGGUGGUAGUGAAACUGAACGAGAAUAUGUUCAAGAAAGACAAAAAUGCCAUUGUUUUUACUGAUUGGUACAGACUAGCCAGAGAGGAGGAGAAAUGAAGCAUCUGCUGAAUACAAAUGAAGACGAUGGCAGGUUGGUCUGUGAGCAUUUAAGCUUUGAUGUUACUAGUCAUUUGCUUUAAACUGGCAAUUAGGGUGGCCAUCAUAAAGGACAGUUCAGCUUUCCUCUGUCCUCUAUUGAUACAAAACCAGGUGCCUUUAUGUCCUCUAUUUUUCUCUUCAAGAUAAAAAUAGAAGACUUAAGGCACUGUGUUUCAUAUCAGUAGAGGACAGUGUCGCAGAAAACUGGACUGUCCUCUAUGAUGGCCACCCUACUGGCAACCCAACCCCAAUUCCACACUGAAAGGAAAAGAAAAGUCUGAAAAUGGCCCCUUUUAACUGCUGUUAAAGAGGCUUGAAAGUACUUACAUUAUGUUGCUAACGAUAGGUAACAGUAUACCAAAGCCUAGAAUUAGUCUCCUUAAAGGGUUUAUUACGAUGGCAAAAACAACUGUUUAUGGAGAGCUCCUGUGUGCCCAAAAGGUAUGCGCUGUGCUUCAGCAAAGGGUUUUUUUACGAUACAUUGUGAAAAUUGGUCAGAGAGUAGGAAAAGAAAAAGAAUUAUGAUGUAAAUGAAAUGUGCUCUCCGUUUUUCUUCCCAAGUGCUGAAUGAUAGGUGAUGUCAUAUGAAGGGUGGUGAUGCCCCCUUUUCCACGCUGGGGGGAAUGAGUGGGUUCUGCUUCGUGGGAAUGCUUUACAGCCAAAUUCUCCUCUCGGUUCUCCUGAUGCGACUCCAGAGAAGCAAGAAUUCAUUCCAGUUUCCUUAAAUUUCCAUUAGUGUAACCAAGUGCAGAAUGUGGUCCUUAAAAAGCAGCUGUCACCUUAUGGAAAACCUUGAAAAAGAUCUUAUUUGGGAACAAGUGUUCUUCUGUGUCACAUAUUUCUCUUCAUUUUCCCCCUCAUUCUUUCUUACUGAAGGCAGUGCCCGAAAACAGGAUUGCCGUUGUUUCUUAAGAAUUUAUCCGAUUCUGUCAUUUAUUUUCCACCUGACAUCAUAAUCCUCUGUUUGUGACAUAUAUAAUCAUUUUCACAAUGCCUAACUGUGAUACCACAAGCAGGGUUUAAAAUAUGAUCCUCAAAAUGCAUUUUACUGUGAUAUCUUACAUAAAGUGGUAUCAGUUUACAGUCCUGAGAUGAUAAUUUCAGCCAAGCGACAUCAAUUAAGUUUUCAUACAUGGGAGUGGUACACUCAAAAUAAUUCCCUUAAGACAAUUCCCUCUGGAGUUUACAGUUUCAUGUGUUGACCUUUUAAAAAUAUUUCCACUUUCAAACCAAUGCUUGCUUAGUAAGUCAAACAGCAUUGCCAAAGUAGAAAAUAUUGCACACACUAUGGAGUCUAGUCCCCUACAGGAGCCAAAGUUAUAACAAGAAGACGCUUAAGAAAAGAAAAAUCAAACAGAAACAGCAGUUUGGAUACCAUAGCAUAGUGAUGAACAAAGUAUAGGAAUAAACAGAACAGAGGUAUCCCUCUUUGCA
rnacentral:lncRNA from 1 species